CACCGAGCUCCAAUCAGCUUUUUGUUACAAUGUUUAGCAGCACUGAAUUGAUCUCCAGAUUGGCAGAAUCCCUUCCACCCAGAAGGGAUUUCUCCCAGCCCUUCAUCACGAAAAGCUUUAGACUCCGGCCAUAUUCCUACAGCUUGUAAAACGAAUUUGGCAUCACGCCUACUACAUCAGGAUGCUCUGUCAAAAUGUAUCAUCUUCAUCAGAAACCAGUAUAUACAACAUUACUGAUUUUCUUCAACAUGUAUAUCGACAGUAGUCACAACAAGAGAGAGAGAGAGAGAGAGACUUACUGACACAUUACUACUCUCAGCAAAGGCCAGCCUUAGAGUUUUGUCAUGGCCAUCAAGCAGACAAACAAGAAGCUGAAUGAGGAGUAGAGUAAAGAAUGAAAUGGUAUUGCUCAUCUUAUCCAUGAACAGUAACCAGACCAGACUAAGAUCUUAUAUAUUGUAGUCGUCGAGAUUCAGUGAUGCUAUUGCUCCCAAGCAGGUUUCCUUUUAUAGCGAUGAACUCGUGAGAUUACUAAACGAGUAAGCGAUAUCGACCCAAACUUUUUUUACUGAAAAAGGUAGAUAUAAGAUGUUAUGGGAUUGCUUC